rnacentral:rRNA from 1 species
AUACGUAGGUGACAAGCGUUAUCCGGAUUUACUGGGCGUAAAGGGUGCGUAGGCGGUUAUUUAAGUUUAAGGUUAAAGUUCAGGGCUCAACCCUGUGAUGCCUUAGAAACUGGAUAGCUAGAGUACAGGAGAGGUUAGUGGAAUUCCAUGUGUAGCGGUAAAAUGCGUAGAUAUAUGGAGGAACACCAGUGGCGAAGGCGGCUAACUGGCCUGUAACUGACGCUCAGGCACGAAAGCGUGGGGAGCAAAUAGGAUUAGAUACCCUAGUAGUCCACGCCGUAAACGAUGAAUACUAAGUGUUGGGGUAAAACUCAGUGCUGCAGUUAACGCAAUAAGUAUUCCGCCUGGGGAGUAUGCGCGCAAGCGUAAAACUCAAAGGAAUUGACGGGG